UACGUAGGGUGCGAGCGUUGUCCGGAAUUAUUGGGCGUAAAGAGCGUGUAGGCGGCCAGACAGGUCCACUGUGAAAACUCGAGGCUCAACCUCGAGAGGUCGGUGGAAACCGUCUGGCUAGAGUCCGGAAGAGGAGAGUGGAAUUCCCGGUGUAGCGGUGAAAUGCGCAGAUAUCGGGAAGAACACCCGUGGCGAAAGGCGGCUCUCUGGGACGG
rnacentral:rRNA from 1 species